GUGAAUUGCAGAAUCCCGCGAACCAUCAAUUCUUUGAACGCAAGUUGCGCCUGAAGCCAUUCGGCCGAGGGCACGCCUGCCUGGGUGUCGUGA
rnacentral:rRNA from 1 species